CUGACCUCGAAUCAGGUGGGAUUACCCGCUGAACUUAAGCAUAUCAAUAAGCGGAGGAAAAGAAACUAACAAGGAUUCCCCUAGUAACGGCGAGUGAAGCGGGAUAAGCUCAAAUUUAAAAUCUGGUAGUCCCUUUGGCUAUCCGAGUUGUAAUCUAGAGAAGUGUUUUCUGCGCUGGACUGUGUACAAGUUUCCUGGAUACGGAACAUCAUAGAGGGUGAGAAUCCCGUCCUUGACACAGAUUCCCAGUGCUUUGUGAUGCACUCUCGACGAGUCGAGUUGUUUGGGAUUGCAGCUCAAAAUGGGAGGUAAAUUCCUUCUAAAGCUAAAUAUUGGCGAGAGACCGAUAGCGAACAAGUACCGUGAGGGAAAGAUGAAAAGCACUUUGGAAAGAGAGUU
rnacentral:rRNA from 1 species